rnacentral:rRNA from 1 species
UACGUAGGGUGCAAGCGUUGUCCGGAAUUAUUGGGCGUAAAGAGCUCGUAGGCGGUUUGUCGCGUCUGCCGUGAAAGUCCGGGGCUCAACUCCGGAUCUGCGGUGGGUACGGGCAGACUAGAGUGAUGUAGGGGAGACUGGAAUUCCCGGUGUAGCGGUGAAAUGCGCAGAUAUCAGGAGGAACACCGAUGGCGAAGGCAGGUCUCUGGGCAUUAACUGACGCUGAGGAGCGAAAGCAUGGGGAGCGAACAGG